UCCACAUGUUUCAACCCAGAUCAUAAAGCCAUUUAAGAACCAAAUUAACAAUUAACCAGUACACAUACAUCAUUGUCACUCACAAUGUAAAUUUUCCCUUGAAAGUUCAAACUCACAUCGACCCAGAUCACAAAAGGGGUUGGUCGAAUGAUAACCACCUUCCUCUUCCAACCCUAAGAUUGUUGGUUCGAAACUUCGAAUCACCAAGAGAGCAAGGAGGAUGAUGCUAAAAAAAAUCCCAGAUCACAAAGCUAAUAAAGAAACAAGAAAUUAACAAGUAAUCCAAACAUAGCGCAUCAGGAUUUAUAUUCUUACCCAUUGUUAUUGUCAAUUUUACCUGUAGAUUUCUCUUGUCCAUUCUUUCCUACUCUAUUUAUGUUCAUCCGAUUGAAGGGUCCUCCCUUAAUGUGUGAUUUUAGGCCUAUGGGUGUGACAGUUUCUUUGAGAAAAGACUGAAAUUGUAGUGAUGAGAGUGUUGGCUGAUGAAUCUUGUCGAAAUUCGCCAUGAAAGAAAAUAGAGAAUUCAAC
rnacentral:lncRNA from 1 species